GGGCUGACUAGAGUGCAGUAGGGGAGUCUGGAAUUCCUGGUGUAGCGGUGAAAUGCGCAGAUAUCAGGAGGAACACCGGUGGCGAAGGCGGGACUCUGGGCUGUAACUGACACUGAGGAGCGAAAGCAUGGGGAGCGAACAGGAUUAGAUACCCUGGUAGUCCAUGCCGUAAACGUUGGGCACUAGGUGUGGGGGGCAUUCCACGUUCUCCGCGCCGUAGCUAACGCAUUAAGUGCCCCGCCUGGGGAGUACGGUCGCAAGGCUAAAACUCAAAGGAAUUGACGGGGGCCCGCACAAGCGGCGGAGCAUGCGGAUUAAUUCGAUGCAACGCGAAGAACCUUACCAAGGCUUGACAUACACCGGACCGUCCUGGAAACAGGUCCUCUUCUUUGAAGCUGGUGUACAGGUGGUGCAUGGUUGUCGUCAGCUCGUGUCGUGAGAUGUUGGGUUAAGUCCCGCAACGAGCGCAACCCUCGUUCUAUGUUGCCAGCAUGUGAUGGUGGGAACUCAUAGGAGACUGCCGGGGUCAACUCGGAGGAAGGUGGGGAUGACGUCAAAUCAUCAUGCCCUUUAUGUCUUGGGCUUCACGCAUGCUACAAUGGCUGGUACAGAGAGAGGCGAACCCGUGAGGGCAAGCGAAUCCCUUAAAGCCAGUCUCAGUUCGGAUCGUAGUCUGCAAUUCGACUACGUGAAGUCGGAGUCGCUAGUAAUCGCAGAUCAGCAACGCUGCGGUGAAUACGUUCCCGGGCCUUGUACACACCGCCCGUCAAGUCACGAAAGUCGGUAACACCCGAAGCCGGUGGCCUAACCGUAAGGAGGGGGCC
rnacentral:rRNA from 1 species